AUUGAACGCUGGCGGCAGGCCUAACACAUGCAAGUCGAGCGGAUGAGGAGAGCUUGCUCUCUGAUUUAGCGGCGGACGGGUGAGUAAUGCCUAGGAAUCUGCCUGGUAGUGGGGGAUAACGUCCGGAAACGGGCGCUAAUACCGCAUACGUCCUACGGGAGAAAGCAGGGGACCUUCGGGCCUUGCGCUAUCAGAUGAGCCUAGGUCGGAUUAGCUAGUUGGUGAGGUAAUGGCUCACCAAGGCGACGAUCCGUAACUGGUCUGAGAGGAUGACCAGUCACACUGGAACUGAGACACGGUCCAGACUCCUACGGGAGGCAGCAGUGGGGAAUAUUGGACAAUGGGCGAAAGCCUGAUCCAGCCAUGCCGCGUGUGUGAAGAAGGUCUUCGGAUUGUAAAGCACUUUAAGUUGGGAGGAAGGGCAGUAAGUUAAUACCUUGCUGUUUUGACGUUACCGACAGAAUAAGCACCGGCUAACUUCGUGCCAGCCGCCGCAGUAACAC
rnacentral:rRNA from 1 species